UACGUAGGUGGCAAGCGUUGUCCGGAUUUACUGGGCGUAAAGAGCGCGCAGGCGGUCGUUCAAGUCGCGUGUGAAAGCCCCCGGCUCAACUGGGGAGGGUCACGCGAUACUGAUCGACUCGAAGGCAGGAGAGGGAAGUGGAAUUCCCGGUGUAGUGGUGAAAUGCGUAGAUAUCGGGAGGAAUACCAGCGGCGAAGGCGGCCUUCUGGACGGUGACUGACGCUGAGACGCGAAAGCGUGGGGAGCAAACAGGG
rnacentral:rRNA from 1 species